UGCACAAAUUAAAUACAAACUUGUAUUGAACCUACAUAGGAUAUAAUGUGUACUAUUAUACAAUAGGUAUUGUGUUUAAAAUGUACCUACCAACUUUGUGAGGUUUACGUUAAGGUCAAUAGUUUGUAAGCAUAGUUUUAAAAUCUUAAUAAACAUAAUAUUACUUUAGAUUCUAAGUGGAGUAAAGAAGCUUAUAAUUUUCCAAUUAUUUU